UACAGAGGGGGCAAGCGUUGUUCGGAAUUACUGGGCGUAAAGGCGCGUAGGCGGCCGUGCAAGUCUGGCGUGAAAGCCCCGGCUCAGCCCGGGAAGUGCGCUCGAAACUGCGCGGCUCGAGUGCCGGAGGGGAGAGUGGAAUUCCUGGUGUAGCGGUGAAAUGCGUAGAUAUCAGGAGGAAUACCGGUGGCGAAAGCGACUCUCUGGACGGCAACUGACGCUGAGGCACGAAAGCGUGGGGAGCAAACAGG
rnacentral:rRNA from 1 species